rnacentral:miRNA from 1 species
UGUCCAGCAGCACCUUAGAGACCAACUAAGUUUCUUCUGGGUAUAAGCUUUCGUGUGCAUGCACACUUUUUAUACCCAGAACAAACUUAGUUGGUCUCUAAGGUGCCACUGGACA